rnacentral:rRNA from 1 species
AUGGAAGUGAAGCUGCACGCGGCGCGGACGCUGGUGGGCCGGCUGCGGGGCGCGGCGGCGGUGCGGGACGCGGGCGCCACGGCGGCGGCCGUCGCGGAGCUGCGGCGCGCCUCCAAGGACGACCCGGAGGUGCGCGCGCCGCUGGCGGACGCGGGCGCCGUGCCGUUCCUCGCGUCGCAGCUCACGGCGCCCUCCACGUCCGCCGCCGCCGAGGACGCGGCCGCCGCGCUGCUCAACAUCUCCCUCUCCGCGCGGGAGCAGCUCAUGUCGGCCCCGGGGAUCCUCGACGCGCUCGCCCGGGCCAUCCGGGCCGAGGACUACGCGGCCGCGCACCACGCCGCCGCCGUCGUCGCCAGCCUGCUCUGCGUCGACGCCUACCGCCCCAUCGUCGGCGCCAAGCGCGCGCUCCUCUCCGCGCUCGUCUCGCUCCUCCUCCCCUCCAAGGCCCGCGGCACGCGCGCCACCAAGGACGCCCUGAAGGCGCUCUUCGGCGUCGCGCUCUACCCGCUCAACCGCGCCGCCCUGGUGGAGCUCGGCGUCGUGCGGGCGCUCUUCGGGCUCGUGAUGACGGACGGGCGCACGGGCAUCGUCGAGGACGCCACCGCAGUCGUCGCGCAGGUGGCCGGGUGCGCCGAGAGCCUCGACGCCUUCGCUGCGGUGUCCGGGGUGCGCAUCCUCGCGGACCUCGUCGAGCCCGGGGGCGCCGCCACGGGGCGGGCCAGGGAGAACGCGGCCGCCGCGCUGCUGAACCUCGUCGUGGCCGGCGGCGAGCGGGCCGUGGCGGAGGUGCUGGACGUGGGCGGCGCCGAGGAGGCCGUGAGGGAGCUGGCGGAGGACGGCGAGGCCAGCCCCAGGGGGAAGGCCAAGGCGGAGGCGCUGCUGAGGGCGCUCGAGGAGGGAGCCGCCGGCGCCAGGCGUCGGCAUGAGCACCGGUUCGCGGAUUUCCUAAACGGGCUCGUGGUGUCCGACCCCUACUUCUCGUCGCCGGCGUCGGCCACCACGCGCGACGACGCGUCACGCGUUACGCUUGGCUGA